rnacentral:rRNA from 1 species
GAUGAACGCUGGCGGCGUGCUUAACACAUGCAAGUCGAACGGUGAAGCAGGAGCUUGCUCUUGUGGAUCAGUGGCGAACGGGUGAGUAACACGUGAGCAACCUGCCCCUGACUCUGGGAUAAGCGCUGGAAACGGCGUCUAAUACCGGAUAUGUGAUGUGACCGCAUGGUCUGCAUCUGGAAAGAAUUUCGGUUGGGGAUGGGCUCGCGGCCUAUCAGCUUGUUGGUGAGGUAAUGGCUCACCAAGGCGUCGACGGGUAGCCGGCAUGAGAGGGUGACCGGCCACACUGGGACUGAGACACGGCCCAGACUCCUACGGGAGGCAGCAGUGGGGAAUAUUGCACAAUGGGCGGAAGCCUGAUGCAGCAACGCCGCGUGAGGGAUGACGGCCUUCGGGUUGUAAACCUCUUUUAGCAGGGAAGAAGCGAAAGUGACGGUACCUGCAGAAAAAGCACCGGCUAACUACGUGCCAGCAGCCGCGGUAA